rnacentral:rRNA from 1 species
GACGAACGCUGGCGGCGUGCUUAACACAUGCAAGUCGAACGGAAAGGCUCCAGCUUGCUGGAGUACUCGAGUGGCGAACGGGUGAGUAACACGUGGGUAAUCUGCCCUGCACUCUGGGAUAAGCCUGGGAAACUGGGUCUAAUACUGGAUAUGACCUUUCUCCUUAUGGGGUUUGGUGGAAAGUUUUUCGGUGUAGGAUGAGCCCGCGGCCUAUCAGCUUGUUGGUGGGGUGAUGGCCUACCAAGGCGACGACGGGUAGCCGGCCUGAGAGGGUGAUCGGCCACAUUGGGACUGAGAUACGGCCCAGACUCCUACGGGAGGCAGCAGUGGGCAAUAUUGCACAAUGGGCGGAAGCCUGAUGCAGCGACGCCGCGUGAGGGAUGACGGCCUUCGGGUUGUAAACCUCUUUCAGCAGGGACGAAGCGUAAGUGACGGUACCUGCAGAAGAAGCACCGGCUAACUACGUG